AUUGAACGCUGGCGGCAGGCCUAACACAUGCAAGUCGAACGGUAACAGGAAACAGCUUGCUGUUUCGCUGACGAGUGGCGGACGGGUGAGUAAUGUCUGGGAAACUGCCUGAUGGAGGGGGAUAACUACUGGAAACGGUAGCUAAUACCGCAUAACGUCGCAGGACCAAAGAGGGGGACCCUCGGGCCUCUUGCCAUCGGAUGUGCCCAGAUGGGAUUAGCUUGUUGGUGGGGUAACGGCUCACCAAGGCGACGAUCCCUAGCUGGUCUGAGAGGAUGACCAGCCACACUGGAACUGAGACACGGUCCAGACUCCUACGGGAGGCAGCAGUGGGGAAUAUUGCACAAUGGGCGCAAGCCUGAUGCAGCCAUGCCGCGUGUAUGAAGAAGGCCUUCGGGUUGUAAAGUACUUUCAGCGGGGAGGAAGGGAGUAAAGUUAAUACCUUGGCUCAUUGACGUUACCCGCAGAAGAAGCACCGGCUAACUCCGUG
rnacentral:rRNA from 1 species